ACAAGCGACUAAGUGCACAGGGUGGAUGCCUUGGCGAUUACAGGCGAUGAAGGACGUAGAAGCUUGCGAUAAGCUGCGGGGAGUUGGCAAACAAACUUUGAUCCGCAGAUUUCCGAAUGGGGAAACCCGGCCUUUUGGCCAUCAAUAACUGAAUCCAUAGGUUAUUGAAGCGAACGUAGUGAACUGAAACAUCUAAGUAACUACAGGAAAAGAAAUCAAUCGAGAUUCCCAAAGUAGUGGCGAGCGAAAUGGGAAGAGCCUGCAAGAGAUAGUGAGAUGAGAUAGUGGAACAUUCUGGAAAGGAUGACGAAACAGGGUGAUAGUCCCGUACACGAAAUCCAUCUAACAGGACUGGGCUUGCGACAAGUAGGGCGGGACACGAGAAAUCCUGUCUGAAGAUGGGGGGACCAUCCUCCAAGGCUAAAUACUCGUAAUCGACCGAUAGUGAACCAGUACCGUGAGGGAAAGGCGAAAAGAACCCCGGGAGGGGAGUGAAAUAGAACCUGAAACCGUGUGCAUACAAACAGUAGGAGCCUGUGCUUGCAUGGGUGACUGCGUACCUUUUGUAUAAUGGGUCAGCGACUUACAUUCAGUGGCGAGGUUAACCGAAUAGGGGAGCCGAAGAGAAAUCGAGUCCGAACAGGGCGAAAGUCGCUGGGUGUAGACCCGAAACCAAGUGAUCUACUCAUGGCCAGGAUGAAGGUGCGGUAACACGCACUGGAGGUCCGAACCCACUAACGUUGAAAAGUUAGGGGAUGAGCUGUGGGUAGGGGUGAAAGGCUAAACAAACUUGGAGAUAGCUGGUUCUCUCCGAAAGCUAUUUAGGUAGUGCCUCAAGUAUCACCACUAGGGGUAGAGCACUGUUAUGGCUAGGGGGUCAUCGCGACUUACCAAACCAUUGCAAACUCCGAAUACUAGUGAGUGCGAGCUUGGGAGACAGACACCGGGUGCUAACGUCCGAUGUCAAGAGGGAAACAACCCAGACCGCCAGCUAAGGUCCCAAAGAUUGGCUAAGUGGAAAACGAAGUGGGAAGGCUAAAACAGUCAGGAGGUUGGCUUAGAAGCAGCCAUCCUUUAAAGAAAGCGUAAUAGCUCACUGAUCGAGUCGUCCUGCGCGGAAGAUGUAACGGGGCUAAGCCAGUCACCGAAGCUGCGGAUAUCCUGUAUGGGAUAUGGUAGGAGAGCGUUCUGUAAGCCUGAGAAGGUGUGUUGAGAAGCAUGCUGGAGGUAUCAGAAGUGCGAAUGCUGACAUGAGUAGCGAUAAUGGGGGUGAAAGGCCCCCACGCCGUAAGCCCAAGGUUUCCUGUUCAACGUUCAUCGGAGCAGGGUGAGUCGGCCCCUAAGGCGAGGCAGAGAUGCGUAGCUGAUGGGAAGCAGGUUAAUAUUCCUGCACCGUCGUUAGAUGCGAUGGGGGGACGGAUCGCGGAAAGUCGUCCGGGUGUUGGAAGUCCCGGUUCUUGAUUCGAAGGAGGCUGCUAGGCAAAUCCGGCAGCGUAAUCCAAGGGAUUGAGACGAGUGGCCUUGUGCCGCGAAGCGAUUGGAAGUGGUUCCAAGAAAAGCCUCUAAGCUUCAGUCUAACGAGACCGUACCGCAAACCGACACAGGUGGGCGAGAUGAGUAUUCUAAGGCGCUUGAGAGAACUCGGGAGAAGGAACUCGGCAAAUUGGUACCGUAACUUCGGGAUAAGGUACGCCCUUGUAGCUUGACUGGCCUGCGCCAGGAGGGUGAAGGGGUUGCAAUAAAAAGGUGGCUGCGACUGUUUAAUAAAAACACAGCACUCUGCAAACACGAAAGUGGACGUAUAGGGUGUGACGCCUGCCCGGUGCUGGAAGAUUAAAUGAUGGGGUGAGAGCUCUUGAUUGAAGUCCCAGUAAACGGCGGCCGUAACUAUAACGGUCCUAAGGUAGCGAAAUUCCUUGUCGGGUAAGUUCCGACCUGCACGAAUGGCGUAACGAUGGCCACACUGUCU
rnacentral:rRNA from 1 species